rnacentral:rRNA from 1 species
AUUGAACGCUGGCGGCAGGCCUAACACAUGCAAGUCGAGCGAGCGGCGGACGGGUGAGUAAGUCCUAGGAAUCUGCCUGGCCGUUGGGGAUAACGUCCGGAAACGGGCGCUAAUACCGCAUACCAUCGGAUGUGCCCAGGUGGGAUUAGCUUGUAGGUUAGGUAACGGCUAACCAAGGCAACGAUCCCUAGCUGGUCUGAGAGGAUGACCAGCCAAACUGGAAUUGAGACACGGUCCAGACUCCUACGGGAGGCAGCAGUGGGGAAUAUUGCACAAUGGGCGCAAGCCUGAUGCAGCCAUGCCGCGUGUAUGAAGAAGGCCUUCGGGUUGUAAAGUACUGUCAGCGGGGAGGCGUUACCCGCAGAAGAAGCACCGGCUAACUCCGUGCCAGCAGCCGCGGUAAUAC